GCAAAAACUUUCAACAACGGAUCUCUUGGUUCUGGCAUCGAAAAANAAACGCAACAAA
rnacentral:rRNA from 1 species